GUUUCCGAGGAGCGUUGCGAGGGGUCCCGAUCAUCCGGGGGCCCGCCAGGCUCGGAACGACGGCGCCACACUCCGCGGGCCGUUCAACAACGACGCUCACCGUCC
rnacentral:ncRNA from 1 species